rnacentral:rRNA from 1 species
UAGUUGGCAGGGUAAAAGCCUACCAAGGCAGAGAUCGGUAGCCGGCCUGAGAGGGCACACGGCCACACUGGCACUGAAACACGGGCCAGACUCCUACGGGAGGCAGCAGUGGGGAAUCUUGCACAAUGGGGGAAACCCUGAUGCAGCGACGCCGCGUGAGCGAUGAAGCCCUUCGGGGUGUAAAGCUCUUUCGGCAGGGAAGAUGGUGACGGUACCUGCAGAAGCAGCUGCGGCUAACUACGUGCCAGCAGCCGCGGUAAUACGUAGGCAGCGAGCGUUGUUCGGAGUUACUGGGCGUAAAGGGUGUGUAGGCGGUUCUUUAAGUUUGGUGUGAAAUCUCCCGGCUCAACCGGGAGGGUGCGCCGAAUACUGAGGGACUUCGAGUACGGGAGAGGAAAGUGGAAUUCCUGGUGUAGCGGUGAAAUGCGUAGAUAUCAGGAGGAACACCGGUGGUGUAGACGGCUUUCUGGACCGUAACUGACGCUGAGACACGAAAGCGUGGGUAGCAAACAGGAUUAGAUACCCUGGUAGUCCACGCCCUAAACGAUGCAUAUUUGGUGUGGGCAGUUCAUUCUGUCCGUGCCGGAGCUAACGCGUUAAAUAUGCCGCCUGGGGAGUACAGUCGCAAGGCUGAAACUCAAAGGAAUUGACG